CACCGCGCCGCACGCAAGGCAGCGGCCGCCCCCGGCCUCCACAUGCCGCCCCUCUCGCUGCGGAAGAGGCCGGGGAGGAGCCGGCGCCGCGCGGCCGCUACCGCCCUCCGCCGGCGCCGAAGAGCAGCACGGAGCCGGGUGCCGCGGCUGCGAUUUGAGCGCAGCGGGCGGCCCGGGCAGAGCGCGGGAAGCCGACUCCCGCCGUGCGGCGCCCCGGCGCGGGUAGCGAACGAGCGGGGCGGUCCGAGCUGCGGAGCGCCCCCAAGCGGCAGGUGUGUGGCGGUCACUGGCAGUGCGCUGAGGGGGAAAAACGGAAAAGAUAAAGGCGACGCGGACAGAGCGGAGAUGGGGCUGUGUGGAUCUGUGUGCUCGCUGCAUUCCCCUGCUGGAGUGGUACAUGAAGAGAUGCUCUCUUGUUCCUUGAGGACGGAUCCCACGUGCUUAACACCUCUGGAAGAAAAACAGUGAUGUUUUCACAGCUGCAGUAGUCUAAAUACUGAGGGCAUGCAGAUUUGUCCCUAGCAUUUCUGUGAGGAAUGACACAAGAUCAUUACCUUGCUGAGACUGAGCAACCCAAUUUCAAAGCAUGGAAAAGGGGUAAUCAUGAAACACAGACCCUAGGUUAAUAAAGAGGCUCUAAGAAAAGACAUCAGUCCAUCGUUACUUUUCUCUUUUCUGUACAUAAGGAGAAAUAACCUCCUCCUUGUUAAUGUUACUGGAUUAGAUCAGUGCAAAAUGUACCAAAGCAAAAUUCUUCAGGGAUACAAAGCGGAACUUUAGGAAUUAAAGUGCCAAAUUCUGGCUUGGCAGUGCAGCAGGUUUGCCUGCACUUACUCCUAGAAUCGCUACUACUCUCUGUAACUUCCGUAAACUUUCAAAGCGACAGCUACAUAGCUUUUUCUUUUUGUUCGUUUGUUUUUAAACACUGUUGUAUCAAGGUAAGAAGUCUUUUAACUUGUAACUUGUGCUUGUGAUUGUCUCUCAGCUGCAAGGGAAAUUAAGGGAACCAGAACAGUAUCUGAAUUUGUCUUGAAGCAAUUGCUCAUAGAGAAAAACUUGACACGUUGUUAUGAAGCACUUGAGGCACUGUUAUGCCCUUUGCUUUUUCCUUUCCCUUUGCUGUGCAACUUUAAGAUUCCCCCCUUCAUUAAAGAGCUGGCAGAAGGUAAGUUCAGAUGCCAUCUUACAGACUGGUUGAUGCAUCUCUUGAGAUGCCUCUCAAAUCCAUGAGACAUACCAGAACAGGAGCACACUGACAGCUGAGAUAGUCUUGAGAACAAAAUACUUUAUUCAUCAAUAAAACUAUAGUUUACAGUAGUAUUUACUAAAUAAAUUAUAUAAUUUCUCUCUUACAAGAAAUAAACUAAAAUCAAAAAUAUUUCGAAGACAAUAUAUAUACACAACAUAAGGCCUUGUUAUAAAUAACAUUUUUUCUUUUCACCGACAGUGAAAAUGUCUUUAAAGGCUUAUUUUCAUACCCCAUGUGCAGAGGCUUACCUAACCCUCCUAUCAAUUCCAAUUUCCACUUCUGUGGAUCUAAGCGAUUAGAACUGAAGGGUGAAAAUAUGCAAAAAUUAAUUUUAUUCACCACUGUGCUUAUUUUUAAUAGGUAAAGCAGAUAAUAUAUUUUGUUUGCAUAAUUACAAGAUGCAUGCAAAUGAAAUCACUAGAGAGCCAAUAAGAAAAUAUUACUUUCAAGUCCAAAAAAAUUGAUUGACAAGAUAGUAGAAAGCAGCUCAAACACACAGGUCUUCACAGUUCAGCAAGCAAGAGCAGAUGAUAGUAGAGUGUGGAAUGUUUCAUGUCACUUUCGCCAAGUCUACCCAUCCUUUCUAUAAUUCAAAGAUCCUAACAAUUCUUAGAACGAGUUCAACUGAUUAUUACUCCGUCUACAAGGCUCAGCAAAUCAGGAGUGCAGAAAGUGCUCUUCGUUAACCAUGGUCACUUCUCCAUCUCAGUUUUCAUUCUUGUGUUUUUUGUUACUGUAAAAACAAACAGAAAAAUAAGCUAAGUUAGAAGUUGUGUUUAUUUGCUUUCUUAUAGAAUUAUAAAUUGGUUACAUAUUUAUUCCUCUGAAGAAGCUGAAGCACAGUUCAAGAGUGAUCCUCUAAUCAAAAUCACCAGGUACUUCUCUGUACAAGAACCAACCCCUACAGUCUUGCAGAUGUUGCAUGGCACUUACAUUACCAAAAUCCAACCACUUGUUUAUGCAAAAUGCUGAACACUCUGGGCAUCACAGAAGACAAUCCAAACUGAGAGCGCUCAGCAACUCCUAACUUUCUUUCACUUGACAGAAGUACCUGAGGCUGAUUAGAAGCGUCAGAAGGGAAAAGUGCAGUUUUUGCAUGUCUUCUGUGAAAGUCCUGCUAGCUUCCACAGGAUAUCCUCUGUUGAAAAACAUAGCUAUCCAAAACUCUUCAGACACAGUUGAUGUUCUCUAUCAUUCCAUUUCACAAAAAACAUGACAAUACUUGCGAGUUCAUUUUCUACAAUACCUUCCAAAGAAGCAGCUGUUAAAUAAUAUAAACAGUCGAUUACUCCUUAGUAUCUCUACUGAGUCACAGAUGAAGAGAAGCUGCUCUCUGCUGAACAACUUAUUACCAGCAUUUACACAAUAGUGUAUUUUGCUGAACAAAAUCUUGCAGCGAAUCAAACGUAUCUCAGCUAAUGUAUUAAAUGUGGAAAAGGACACAAAAGCAAACCAAAGACAGCUGGACUGACCCCACUCUAGAACCUGAUAAAAGUAUAAAGAAGAUGCAAGUCUGCAUUUAUUAUUCAGAUUUUUUUUAAAGUCCCUUCCAAACUGUAUUUUUUCAGUACAAGCAUCUAACUAACCUUCAAGUAAGUAUUUCAGUAACAAUUUAAUCUUGGCUGUGAACAGCAACAAUGAAGCUCAGAAGGCAUUCUAAAAGCUUAUCUUACAAAAAUGAAAACCCAAAGAUAGUUAAGAUUUCUAGCAUUAGACUUUGAGCCUUAAAGAAGGGUUUUUAAGUGCUGCAAACUUUAAGCUGUGUUGUGAACCACUGUUAUGGACAGGGCAUUCACAGUCAAUUCACUGCUGGUGAGCAAAGUACUAGGUUCUCAGAGACUAUUCUCUGUGUGGACAGCACUUCUUUCCACUCUCAGCAAUAAUGCCACUGCUCACUUUUUGCUAUUCCAGCAGCACACAAUUAUAACAUAUGCAUUUUUAUUACUUUAACUCUUAUCCUUCCAAAGCAUUUCAGAAGGAUGAAGGAUUGAAAAAAUACCUGCAAAAUUUGCGUUACAGAAUUGGAAAAGACAGCCCUGAUAGAAACAUAAAGCAGCUGCGUGUGAGUCACAGAAAUGCUGUGCAUACAGCAGGAUUUAAAUAUCCUUCUGUGUGUCAGGUACAAUCCACUUCUGCGUGCAUUACUGUGGAAAAGUCUACAAUGGAAUGCACAUGACAUGAGCAUCUCUGUCACCACUGCACAACGUGUGGCGUUAUUUUGAUGUAAAAAGCAGCAUUUUCUGAUGAAGACUGCAUUUGACCAUAGCAAUUAGUUUCAUAUGAUAAUUAAUGGCAAAUGACCCCAUCAGAUGCCUUCCUGCAAUAGCUAUCUGAGAUCUCUCAUGCUGGUUCUAUAGUGUACUUUCAGUAUUGGGAAUCUUUUUGUACUUCAAUUGUCCUCCCAUGGAUUUGGUUUUGAGUAAAUUGAUUUCUCCAUGUAGUGCAUUAAAAUCCUUAGGGCAUGAGAACCUGUAGUUUAGCAACAAUAGAAGCUGUCAUUUUAGCAACUGGCUUACGCAGGUAAUGUACUAAUUGCAAUCAGAAAUGACAUGUCUAACACUUCAUUCCAUUAUCUGAUUUUCAUGGAAGUAUUGCUGUUGCUUUUUGUGUAACAUUGCUUCUGCAAAAACUCUUCUACUGAAUGAUAUUCAAGAGCUUGGUUUUUGUUUCACCUUGCAUCAGCCUUUGGUUUUAUGAGAGACAUAGGCUUAUUUUUCCCCUGAUGGACAAGAUAAUGGAUAAUUGAAUACAGACAUCAAAUAGGUAAGAGAGGAGAGGAAGAGUGAGUUGUUCCUCACUGUGUGGAACACCUAAAUCUUCCCUCUUUGAGCCUUAUGUAAACCCUGCUUUGAGGAAAGGGUGCUUAGCUGGUUCCAGUAUGUGCACAGAACACAUAAGGAUUUUUCUGCUCUCAGGGGAAAUUCACUCAAAAUGUCUGUAAGUAAGGAGGCCUAAAUUCUUUUCUCACAGUACUGAAGUUAAUAUUCAAUCUGCUGUCUUUUUCUACUAGUAUCUUCAACGGAAAUAGCAAAGCUCCAGAAAGAGCAAUGUGUCAAAAUAUGAGGUGUACAUCGUAGUGUGACUGUACAUUUAAUUGCUUGUUCUUACAUGUAUCCUGCCUGGGAAAUGCUUUAACUUCAGUCCCGGUUAUUACUGCUUCACAACAGCACUCUGAAGAAAUCUACAAUAUGAUUAGAAUGGAAUCAAAUGCUGUGGAAGACAGAGAAGCAAGAAGUUCUUGAAUGAAAAAGAAACCCCUUGUCAAGGAGUUAUGGUAGCACGUACAACCCCAUAUAAUAACUGUAAAUCACAGCCUGAACCACUGAUUGAGCAACUGGGGAAAGCACCCGGUCAGCCCUGGGAGCACAGGGGAAGGCAAUUCAGCUGUGUGACCAGAAGGGGUGGAGCCUGGCUGCUACAGUCAUUGCUUCUUGACCACCACAUCCCUGAUAAAAAAGUCCCUCCUCAUCUUUACUCUGAGUAUUGGAAGGCCACAAUGAGGUCUCCCCAAGCCUUCUCUUCUUUAAGCUAAAUGUGCCCAAGUCCCUUAGCUUUUCUUCACAGGAGAGGUGUUCCUGCCCUCUGCCCUCUGAUUGUUCUUGUGGCCAUCCUCUGGACCCGCUGCAACAGCUCCAAGUCUUACUUAUGCUGGGAGCCCCAGAACUGAACGCAGAACUGCAGGUAUUUAUUUGAUUUGAGGUAAGAAUUCCUUUUGCUCUGCAUGGAAAGUUCACACUAGGAGAGCGCAAAGACUGCUUACCCAAAAAUAGCUGAAGGAGUGAAAAUAUUUCUAAGAGACAGUAAUUGUGAAGAUGAGAGAUUCGAUAGUAAACUGGCAGUUGGAAGAGGUUGAAUACAAACUGUGAGUGUUCAAAAGGAGAACCAGGCACAGUACUAACUAUAGGAGUGAAAACAGAGGAAAAGAAGCACAGUGAAGAGUAAGAAGAGGGAGACAUGUUUGCCAAAUUUCCAAAUAGGGAGAGGCAAGCACUCAUCAGUCUAUUUAGCUAUGCAUCUACAGCCACAAUACACACAAAACAGAUCUCCAGCUAGGAUUUACAACUUCAGAAUCCUAUAGUAAAAUUGGUAUUUAGUCAUAAGCCGCAGUAUGGGUAAUUCUGAAUUAACAUUAUUAUCUGUGCAAUUCAUCUGACAAAUCAUAGCUGUACUAACUGGACUUCAAAUAUGCAGAGCUUGCUCAUCACAACAGCUACUCCUUUUUUCCACUCUAAAUCCUUUUCAAUCCUUUGCAGCCCUCUUUUCAGUGGUAGUGGCUCCUAAGUCAUACACAAAUAACAGCGGGUAAUGUUACAUUUCCACGUAACUAUUCCUUUACUAACAAGGAAGCUUCUGUCAUAGUUAACACAGGAGUUCUCCUUCAAACAAAAUAGUUCAGUAAUGAAAUCCUACAGGCAGGAUAUAUACUUGUUUAAGAUCCGCAUUUACCACCAGCUGAUUUAAGCUGUAGAGCAUCGUAAUGGAGCAAACUUAUGUCUGUCACUCUACUAUUUACAUGCAUAUUCUUAUCCCAUUGUAAGCAUAACAGGUAUCAAACUACUUACAGUGAAACAAUUAUCACACACAAUCACAGGGGUUGGAAGGGACCUCAAGACAUCAGUUAUCCUAUUUCUUAAGCCUUACUACUCUGACUUCACUGACACUGUAGUUUGUCACCUGAGAGAACAGAGGAGUAGUUUUUAAUUUCACGUUGCUCUUUCAUGGACAGAAAGCUUAACAUUGCAGACAGACACAACAGGGUGACUUAAGGUGGGUUUUUUUUUCUUUUUAGUUACCUAACUGAAAGUACUGCUUUUCUCAAUUUUAGGUACCUUAAAAACUGCACUAAGAUUUUUAUGGUUGGCUGAUCUACACAAUGAAACUUCUGCAGUGUUGGGUCUGUAUUUCAUACUAACCAAAGUCUUUCUUUUCAGAAAGAAGUGGUGUCUGUUAGGCAGCUUCAGGAGGUUAGACUGUAUGUGAUUUACUCGUCCAUUUCCUGCAACAUUUCAGGAUUUCUGAGUCUUUACAGACUUUUCAAGUCAACAUCGUAUCAUCAACAGGCCUGCUGAACACAAGUCCUACAGGAAUAAGCUGACUUAAUGGGCUACACAAAGGCAGAGUUAACUAAGUCAAUUCUAUUUCCAACUGGCUGCUUGUACUUGCUACUGUGUUGAUUCAGUUGAGGCAGAACAGACAAAACCUACCCUAAGCAGUGGGUACUAUAUUUACCUAAAUGUUGCUGGCUUAGUUAAAAAAAAAACAAAAACAAAAACAAACAA